ACUCUUACGGGAGGCAGCAGUGGGGAAUUUUGGACAAUGGGGGCAACCCUGACGAAGCAACGCCGCGUGGGUGAUGAAGUCUCUUGGGACGUAAAACCCUUUCGACGGGGAAGAAACCGCAAGGUUGACGGUACCCGUAGAAGAAGCCCCGGCUAACUUCGUGCCAGCAGCCGCGGUAAUACGAGGGGGGCAAGCGUUGUUGGGAAUUAUUGGGCGUAAAGGGUGUGUGGGCGGUUCUUUAAGUUUGGUGUGAAAUCUCCCGGCUCAACCGGGAGGGUGCGCCGAAUACUGAGGGACUUCGAGUGCGGGAGAGGAAAGUGGAAUUCCUGGUGUAGCGGUGAAAUGCGUAGAUAUCAGGAGGAACACCUGUGGUGUAGACAGCUUACUGGACCAUCACUGACGGUGAGACACGAAAGCGUGGGUAGCAAACAGGAUUAGAUACCCUGGUAGUCCACGCCCUAAACAAUGCAUACUUGGUGUGAGUCAUUCAUUUGAUUCGUGCCGGAGCUAACGCGUUAAGUAUGCCGCCUGGGGAGUACGGUCGCAAGGCUGAAACUUAAAGGAAUUGACG
rnacentral:rRNA from 1 species